GAACAUCUCGCUCUGUAGUGGCAUAUACUCUUCCUGAGUUGUUGGCCUGGUAUGCUCUUUAUUGAUAGGAUACUCUUUGAUCCGAUGUUGAGUACUAUAACAUCCUAAGCAUCUAUUUAUCAACUUGUAACAAGGUCUGCUACCAUGAUUUUUUACACAAUGGAGGCAUAUUUGCUCUGGCUCUUGUGCUAGGGCUCUCGGAGGAAUUAUGAAACUUGUCUUCUGUCUCUUAUUAGGUUGUUGUUUCUCUUAGGCAUUCCUCUUAUUGUUGAGUAUAAAUUAUCGAGCCUGUUGGAUCUGUUGUGGGAUGGGGCUUGUAGCCUCUUUUGCAAUUAGGGCCUGUUCUAGUGCUUCUUGGUAGUCAUUAAUCUUAAGAGCUGUGAUUUUAUCUCAGAUCUCCUUACGCAGGCCUCUCUAAAACUUCCUAGCUCUUAAACUUCCAUCGACUACUACGUUAGGCCCAAACUGUGCCAAGUCUAUGAACCUUUUUAUAUAUUCUAUCACCCUCAUAUUCCCUUGCUUUAAUUCCAGAAACUCAAUUUGCUUAUAUUUUCAAACAAAAUUAGGGAAAUAAUUCUUGUAGAAUGUCGCUCUAAAUGUUUUCCGAAGGAUUGGUGUCUUUAGGGAUCCCCUCUUCAGAUGCCACCAGUGUUCUACAGCUCCCUUGAACAUGAAUGUGGCUGAUUGUACCUUUUGCUCUGAAUUAGGGCUGAGAACAUCGAAUAUCUUCUCCAACUCCAUGAUUCAUUAUUUGGUUAAUAUCGGGUCAGUUGCUCCAGCAAAUGAUGAUGGGUUCAUUCUUUUAAACCUUUCAAUGAGUUUUCUAUUAUUUUCUUCAAUCGGCUGGGUGUUACCGGUACUAGCAUUAUUACCAUUAAUAGCACCUUCGUUAUGGACUGCAUGUUGACUUCCCACUGUAGCCAAGCCUUCAACUAUACGCAUGAGUCUAUCUAGACUCUGCUUAAUCUGGUCUUCUAAAACCCAAUGUGCCUGAUCUCU
rnacentral:lncRNA from 1 species